rnacentral:rRNA from 1 species
GGCAGGCCUAACACAUGCAAGUCGAACGGUAACAGGAAACAGCUUGCUGUUUCGCUGACGAGUGGCGGACGGGUGAGUAAUGUCUGGGAAACUGCCUGAUGGAGGGGGAUAACUACUGGAAACGGUAGCUAAUACCGCAUAACGUCGCAAGACCAAAGAGGGGGCCCUCGGGCCUCUUGCCAUCGGAUGUGCCCAGAUGGGAUUAGCUUGUUGGUGGGGUAACGGCUCACCAAGGCGACGAUCCCUAGCUGGUCUGAGAGGAUGACCAGCCACACUGGAACUGAGACACGGUCCAGACUCCUACGGGAGGCAGCAGUGGGGAAUAUUGCACAAUGGGCGCAAGCCUGAUGCAGCCAUGCCGCGUGUAUGAAGAAGGCCUUCGGGUUGUAAAGUACUUUCAGCGGGGAGGAAGGGAGUACAGUUAAUACCUUUGCUCAUUGACGUUACCCGCAGAAGAAGCACCGGCUAACUCCGUGCCAGCAGCCGCGGUAAUACGGAGGGUGCAAGCGUAAAUCGGAAUUACUGGGCGUAAAG